rnacentral:rRNA from 1 species
AUUGAACGCUGGCGGCAGGCCUAACACAUGCAAGUCGAGCGAGCGGCGGAAGGGUGAGUAAAGUAUGGGGAAUGCGCGAUAGAGGGGGAUAACUACUGUAAACGGUGGCUCAUACCGCAUACUGUAUGAUAACCACUAGUGGAUUAGCUAGUAGGUAAGGUAAUGGCUUACCCAGGCGCCGAUCCCUAGCUGGUCUCAGAGGAUGAGCAGCCACACUGGAACGGAGACACGGUCCAGACUCCUACGGAGGCAGCAGUGGUGAAUAUUGCACAAUGGGCGCAAGCCUGAUGCAGCCAUGCCGCGGGUAUGAAGAAGGCCCUAGGGUUGUAAAGUACUUUCAGUCGGGAGGCGUUACCGACAGAAGAAGCACCGGCUAACUCCGUGCCAGCCGCCGCGGUAAUAC